rnacentral:rRNA from 1 species
AUUGAACGCUGGCGGCAUGCUUUACACAUGCAAGUCGAACGGCAGCGGGGUAGAGCUUGCACUACUGCCGGCGAGUGGCGAACGGGUGAGUAAUAUAUCGGAACUUACCGAGUAAUGGGGGAUAACCAAUCGAAAGAUUGGCUAAUACCGCAUACGUCCUGAGGGAGAAAGCGGGGGAUCGCAAGACCUCACGUUAUUACAGCAGCCGAUACCUGAUUAGCUUGUUGUUGGGGUAAAGGCCUACCAAGGCGACGAUCAGUAGCGGGUCUGAGAGGAGGAUGGGCAACACUGGAAUUGAGACAGGGCCCAGACUCCUACGGGAGGCAGCAGUGGGGAAUUUUGGACAAUGAGGGAAGUCCUGAUGCAGACAGGCGGCGUGGAUGAAGAAGGCCUUCGGUUGGUAAAGUACGUUUGUAAGGGAAGAAAAGGGAGGGGCUAAAACCACUUUUUGCUGACGGUAACUAAAGAAUAAGCACCGGCUAACUACGUG